rnacentral:rRNA from 1 species
AUUGAACGCUGGCGGCAUGCCUUACACAUGCAAGUCGAACGGUAACAGGUCUUCGGAUGCUGACGAGUGGCGAACGGGUGAGUAAUACAUCGGAACGUGCCCGAUCGUGGGGGAUAACGAAGCGAAAGCUUUGCUAAUACCGCAUACGAUCUACGGAUGAAAGCAGGGGACCGCAAGGCCUUGCGCGAACGGAGCGGCCGAAUGGCAGAUUAGGAGUUGGUGGGAUAAAAGCUUACCAAGCCGACGAUCUGUAGCUGGUCUGAGAGGACGACCAGCCACACUGGGACUGAGACACGGCCCAGACUCCUACGGGAGGCAGCAGUGGGGAAUUUUGGACAAUGGGCGAAAGCCUGAUCCAGCCAUGCCGCGUGCAGGAUGAAGGCCUU